GACGAACGCUGGCGGCGUGCUUAACACAUGCAAGUCGAACGGAAAGGCCCUUCGGGGUACUCGAGUGGCGAACGGGUGAGUAACACGUGGGUGAUCUGCCCUGCACUUUGGGAUAAGCCUGGGAAACUGGGUCUAAUACCGAAUAGGACCACGCGCUUCAUGGUGUGUGGUGGAAAGCUUUUGCGGUGUGGGAUGGGCCCGCGGCCUAUCAGCUUGUUGGUGGGGUAAUGGCCUACCAAGGCGACGACGGGUAGCCGGCCUGAGAGGGUGACCGGCCGCACUGGGACUGAGAUACGGCCCAGACUCCUACGGGAGGCAGCAGUGGGGAAUAUUGCACAAUGGGCGCAAGCCUGAUGCAGCGACGCCGCGUGAGGGAUGACGGCCUUCGGGUUGUAAACCUCUUUCAAUAGGGACGAAGCGCAAGUGACGGUACCUAUAGAAGAAGCACCGGCCAACUACGUG
rnacentral:rRNA from 1 species